rnacentral:ncRNA from 1 species
UUGAAGACCGGGCAUAGCUGUCGAAAGGCAGUGUCGCAAAGCUAUAGGGGUUUCGCCUUUCCGCAGUGCGGAAGGAAAGCCAGCCAGUUGUAUAU